UACGUAGGGGGCAAGCGUUGUCCGGAAUCAUUGGGCGUAAAGCGCGUGUAGGGCGGCUUGGUAAGUCUGCUCUGAAAGCCCAGGGCUCAACCCCGGGAGGCGGGUGAUACUGUCAAGCUCGAGUCCGGAAGAGGAGUGUGGAAUUCCUGGUGUAGCGGUGAAAUUCGUAGAUAUCGGGAGGAACACCGGUGGCGAAGGCGGCGACCUGGGUCGAUACUGACGCUGAGGUGCGAAAGCGUGGGGAGCAAACAGG
rnacentral:rRNA from 1 species